rnacentral:rRNA from 1 species
UAAUACGUAGGGGGCGAGCGUUGUCCGGAUUUACUGGGCGUAAAGCGCGUGUAGGCGGCGGCUUAAGUCGGGUGUGAAAGCCCGGGGCUCAACCCCGGGAUGCCGCUCGAGACUGGGUCGCUUGAGGACGGAAGAGGGGCGUGGAAUUCCUGGUGUAGCGGUGAAAUGCGUAGAGAUCAGGAGGAACACCCGUGGCGAAGGCGGCGCCCUGGUCCGUUACUGACGCUGAGACGCGAAAGCGCGGGGAGCGAACGGGAUUAGAUACCCCGGUAGUCCGCGCCGUAAACGAUGGUCACUAGGUGUGCGCGGUAUCGACCCCGCGCGUGCCGCCGCUAACGCAGUAAGUGACCCGCCUGGGGAGUACGGCCGCAAGGUUG